GUCAGAAUGGCCGAGUGGUCUAAGGCGCCAGAUUUAAGCUCUGGUCCUCGAGUGAGGGCGUGGGUUCGAACCCCACUUCUGACA
rnacentral:tRNA from 1 species